ensembl:lncRNA
CUCAUUUACCAAUAGAGAAAAAUAUCUCUACAUAGAAUGGACUUUCCUGGUGGCUCAGACGGUAAAGAAUCUGCCUGCAAUGCAGGAGACCCGGUGCUAACAGAAUGAGGAGAGGAUGUGGGAGUCAGUGCGCAUGGAGCUGAGCUAAGAGUUUCAAGUCCACCCUUCUCACAUCCCUAUGGGAUAGAUACCAUUUCCCUUUUGACUGAUGAAGAGACUGAGGCUCAGAGAGAAUAAGGAGCUUGCCUACGGUCUACAGUAGCGGUGAGACCCCCAGGAGCUUGGCUGUGGUGUGCCUUGGCAGUGGGGCUUGAGGCAGCCUCACUGAGUUCCCCAGCAG